UCCGUUUCCGGUUGACAGCUGGCAUUUCCGUUUGGAGGGCUGCCGUGGUACAGGUACAGGUACAGGUAAGUCUGUACAGGUGAGGUGCAAUCAUGCGGACGUGGAUGAUACUUCUCGCGGUCUGCCUAGCCGUGCUGCCCCAGCAGACGCAUGCGGCUACUGAAUACCACAGCGCCAGGGUAGAGAGUUGCAGUGGAUGACGCUUGAACAAGCUCCCAGAGGUGAAGAAGUUCAUCAAACAGGUGCUACCUCAAUUUCACCGUGUGGAGUACAAGGCCAUUCCUGGGAAGAGUCCUGAGCUACUGUUGUUAGAUCAGGAUGGAGAACAGCUGGAGGUGAUUGACCUAGCACCAAUGAAAACAGUCGAAAUCACAGAUCUCCUUCUUGAGAAAGGCUUCACCAUGAAGGAAGAUGCUGAUGCCGCAGAGGAUGUUGGAAAAGGCGAACUAUAAACUCUUUUAUUUCCAGUGAAACUGAUGUCACCUGCUGACCCUUACCUGUGGCUGUCCUGGAGCUGAGGCGCACAUGAAACUGUCAACUGAAAGUUCCCGGUUGGCGGUGGAGAAAAUUAGCCAGGAGCUCGAGGGCAUCCUACAAUACAAGAAGUCGGCUGCAGUGACCUUCAAUAAAGUCACAUUCCAGACUUAA